rnacentral:tRNA from 1 species
GGGGAUAUAGCUCAGUGGCACAGCACAGCCUGGCAAGUUUGAGAGCCUGAGUUUGAUUCCCAGUACCCAUA